rnacentral:ncRNA from 1 species
GAUAUUUCGAAGGGGUGCCUUACUAUCAGGCUGAGAUUAUACCCAUUGAACCGGAUACGGGUAAUGCCGAAACCGGGAUGCAUAAUCUUUCAACG